CUGGCUCAGGAUGAACGCUGGCGGCGUGCCUAAUACAUGCAAGUCGAACGAGGUGGAUGGGAGCUUGCUCCCUGAUACCGAGUGGCGAACGGGUGAGUAACACGUAGGUAACCUGCCCUUAAGCUUGGGGUACCCAGAGGAAACUUUGGCUAAUACCGGAUAACAACAGAGGAGGCAUCUCCUUUGCUUGAAAGGCCCUGCAAGGGGUCACUUAAGGAUGGACCUGCGGCGCAUUAGCUAGUUGGUGAGAUAAAAGCCCACCAAGGCGAGGAUGCGUAGCCGACCUGAGAGGGUGAUCGGCCACAUUGGAACUGAGACACGGUCCAAACUCCUACGGGAGGCAGCAGUAAGGAGUUUUCGGCAAUGGGGGAAACCCUGACCGAGCAAACCGCCGCGUGAGUGAAGAAGGCCUUCGGGCCGUAAAGCUCUGUUGCCGGGGAAGAGUGCCGGAGGGGGACCUCCGGAGGGACGGUACCCGGCGAGGAAGCCGCGGCUAACUACGUGCCAGCCGCUGC
rnacentral:rRNA from 1 species